rfam:Tauraco erythrolophus contig107611, whole genome shotgun sequence.
CACAAGGCCUUAAUAAAGGCCAGUAAGAGAUUUAAAAUAACAAUUU